rnacentral:rRNA from 1 species
AUUAGCCUACGGGGCGCAGCAGUGGGGGAUAUUGCACAAUGGGGGGAACCCUGAUGCAGCGACGCCGCGUGAGUGAAGAAGUAUUUCGGUAUGUAAAGCUCUAUCAGCAGGGAAGAAGAAAGACGGUACCUGAGUAAGAAGCCCCGGCUAACUACGUGCCAGCAGCCGCGGUAAUACGUAGGUGGCGAGCGUUAUCCGGAAUGAUUGGGCGUAAAGGGUGCGUAGGCGGUCGAUUAAGUCUGGAGUGAAAGGUACCGGCUCAACCGGUAUAGGCUCCGGAAACUGAUGGACUGGAGUACAGGAGA